GAUUAAGUUAUUAAGGGCGCACGGUGGAUGCCUUGGCACUAGAAGCCGAUGAAGGACGUUACUAACGACGAUAUGCUUUGGGGAGCUGUAAGUAAGCUUUGAUCCAGAGAUUUCCGAAUGGGGAAACCCAGCAUGAGUUAUGUCAUGUUAUCGAUAUGUGAAUACAUAGCAUAUCAGAAGGCACACCCGGAGAACUGAAACAUCUUAGUACCCGGAGGAAGAGAAAGAAAAUUCGAUUCCCUUAGUAGCGGCGAGCGAAACGGGAAGAGCCCAAACCAACAAGCUUGCUUGUUGGGGUUGUAGGACACUCUAUACGGAGUUACAAAGGACGACAUUAGACGAAUCAUCUGGAAAGAUGAAUCAAAGAAGGUAAUAAUCCUGUAGUCGAAAAUGUUGUCUCUCUUGAGUGGAUCCUGAGUACGACGGAGCACGUGAAAUUCCGUCGGAAUCUGGGAGGACCAUCUCCUAAGGCUAAAUACUCUCUAGUGACCGAUAGUGAACCAGUACCGUGAGGGAAAGGUGAAAAGCACCCCGGAAGGGGAGUGAAAUAGAACCUGAAACCGUGUGCUUACAAGUAGUCAGAGCCCGUUAAUGGGUGAUGGCGUGCCUUUUGUAGAAUGAACCGGCGAGUUACGAUUUGAUGCAAGGUUAAGCAGUAAAUGUGGAGCCGUAGCGAAAGCGAGUCUGAAUAGGGCGUUUAGUAUUUGGUCGUAGACCCGAAACCAGGUGAUCUACCCUUGGUCAGGUUGAAGUUCAGGUAACACUGAAUGGAGGACCGAACCGACUUACGUUGAAAAGUGAGCGGAUGAACUGAGGGUAGCGGAGAAAUUCCAAUCGAACCUGGAGAUAGCUGGUUCUCUCCGAAAUAGCUUUAGGGCUAGCCUCAAGUGAUGAUUAUUGGAGGUAGAGCACUGUUUGGACGAGGGGCCCCUCUCGGGUUACCGAAUUCAGACAAACUCCGAAUGCCAAUUAAUUUAACUUGGGAGUCAGAACAUGGGUGAUAAGGUCCGUGUUCGAAAGGGAAACAGCCCAGACCACCAGCUAAGGUCCCAAAAUAUAUGUUAAGUGGAAAGGAUGUGGCGUUGCCCAGACAACUAGGAUGUUGGCUUAGAAGCAGCCAUCAUUUAAAGAGUGCGUAAUAGCUCACUAGUCGAGUGACACUGCGCCGAAAAUGUACCGGGGCUAAACAUAUUACCGAAGCUGUGGAUUGUCCUUUGGACAAUGGUAGGAGAGCGUUCUAAGGGCGUUGAAGCAUGAUCGUAAGGACAUGUGGAGCGCUUAGAAGUGAGAAUGCCGGUGUGAGUAGCGAAAGACGGGUGAGAAUCCCGUCCACCGAUUGACUAAGGUUUCCAGAGGAAGGCUCGUCCGCUCUGGGUUAGUCGGGUCCUAAGCUGAGGCCGACAGGCGUAGGCGAUGGAUAACAGGUUGAUAUUCCUGUACCACCUAUAAUCGUUUUAAUCGAUGGGGGGGACGCAGUAGGAUAGGCGAAGCGUGCGAUUGGAUUGCACGUCUAAGCAGUAAGGCUGAGUAUUAGGCAAAUCCGGUACUCGUUAAGGCUGAGCUGUGAUGGGGAGAAGACAUUGUGUCUUCGAGUCGUUGAUUUCACACUGCCGAGAAAAGCCUCUAGAUAGAAAAUAGGUGCCCGUACCGCAAACCGACACAGGUAGUCAAGAUGAGAAUUCUAAGGUGAGCGAGCGAACUCUCGUUAAGGAACUCGGCAAAAUGACCCCGUAACUUCGGGAGAAGGGGUGCUCUUUAGGGUUAACGCCCAGAAGAGCCGCAGUGAAUAGGCCCAAGCGACUGUUUAUCAAAAACACAGGUCUCUGCUAAACCGUAAGGUGAUGUAUAGGGGGCUGACGCCUGCCCGGUGCUGGAAGGUUAAGAGGAGUGGUUAGCUUCUGCGAAGCUACGAAUCGAAGCCCCAGUAAACGGCGGCCGUAACUAUAACGGUCCUAAGGUAGCGAAAUUCCUUGUCGGGUAAGUUCCGACCCGCACGAAAGGCGUAACGAUUUGGGCACUGUCUCAACGAGAGACUCGGUGAAAUCAUAGUACCUGUGAAGAUGCAGGUUACCCGCGACAGGACGGAAAGACCCCGUGGAGCUUUACUGUAGCCUGAUAUUGAAAUUCGGCACAGCUUGUACAGGAUAGGUAGGAGCCUUUGAAACGUGAGCGCUAGCUUACGUGGAGGCGCUGGUGGGAUACUACCCUAGCUGUGUUGGCUUUCUAACCCGCACCACUUAUCGUGGUGGGAGACAGUGUCAGGCGGGCAGUUUGACUGGGGCGGUCGCCUCCUAAAAGGUAACGGAGGCGCUCAAAGGUUCCCUCAGAAUGGUUGGAAAUCAUUCAUAGAGUGUAAAGGCAUAAGGGAGCUUGACUGCGAGACCUACAAGUCGAGCAGGGUCGAAAGACGGACUUAGUGAUCCGGUGGUUCCGCAUGGAAGGGCCAUCGCUCAACGGAUAAAAGCUACCCCGGGGAUAACAGGCUUAUCUCCCCCAAGAGUUCACAUCGACGGGGAGGUUUGGCACCUCGAUGUCGGCUCAUCGCAUCCUGGGGCUGUAGUCGGUCCCAAGGGUUGGGCUGUUCGCCCAUUAAAGCGGUACGCGAGCUGGGUUCAGAACGUCGUGAGACAGUUCGGUCCCUAUCCGUCGUGGGCGUAGGAAAUUUGAGAGGAGCUGUCCUUAGUACGAGAGGACCGGGAUGGACAUACCUCUGGUGUACCAGUUGUCGUGCCAACGGCAUAGCUGGGUAGCUAUGUGUGGACGGGAUAAGUGCUGAAAGCAUCUAAGCAUGAAGCCCCCCUCAAGAUGAGAUUUCCCAACUUCGGUUAUAAGAUCCCUCAAAGAUGAUGAGGUUAAUAGGUUCGAGGUGGAAGCAUGGUGACAUGUGGAGCUGACGAAUACUAAUCGAUCGAAGACUUAAUCAA
rnacentral:rRNA from 1 species